GCCCAGUUGAAUGACACAUCUAAUUAGGAUUACUUUUAGUAAUUUUCAUAAAGAAAUUAGUUUCAUCAAAGUUAAUUUUUCUUUUUUAAUGUUUCUUUUCUUUUUGAAUUUAUUUUUCUUUUCUUUUUCUUUUCCUCUAUAAGUUUUAUAUAGAAUUUAAACAAAAAUUAUCUAAGAAAUUGGUAACAUGUGAACAAUGGUCAUCAUUCAAUACAAGAUGUAGUAACCACACACUUGUAUGAUUCGGUUUGUCUAUUACACUACAAUAUAUCAUUAUAAU
rnacentral:lncRNA from 1 species